GACAGAGGGUGCAAACGUUGUUCGGAAUUACUGGGCGUAAAGCGUGCGCAGGCGGCGCGUUAAGACAGGUGUGAAAGCCCCGAGCUUAACUUGGGAAUUGCGCUUGUGACUGGCGUGCUGGAGUGUGGCAGAGGGAGGUGGAAUUCCACGUGUAGCAGUGAAAUGCGUAGAGAUGUGGAGGAACAUCGAUGGCGAAGGCAGCCUCCUGGGCCAGCACUGACGCUCAUGCACGAAAGCGUGGGGAGCAAACAGG
rnacentral:rRNA from 1 species